rnacentral:misc_RNA from 1 species
GAUGAAGAACGUAGUGAAAUGCGAUAAGUAAUGUGAAUUGCAGAAUUCAGUGAAUCAUCGAAUCUUUGAACGCACAUUGCGUCCGCCAGUAUUCUGGCGGGCAUGCCUGUUCGAGCGUCAUUACAACCCUCAGGCCCCCGGGCCUGGCGUUGGGGAUCGGCGGAGCCCCCCGUGGGCACACGCCGUCCCCCAAAUGCAGUGGCGGUCCCGCCGCAGCUUCCAUCGCGUAGUAGCUAACACCUCGCGACUGGAGAGCGGCGCGGCCACGCCGUAAAACACCCAACUCUUCUGAAGUUGACCUCGAAUCAGGUAGGAAUACCCGCUGAACUUAAGCAUAUCAAUAAGCGGAGGA